rnacentral:ncRNA from 2 species
CGUGUCGACACGGGAGAACCGGCCUUGCGCCGGUGCCGAAGGAGCAACCGCCCCGGAAACUCUCAGGCCCCAGGACCGUGCCGACGCU